GAUGAACGCUGGCGGCGUGCCUAACACAUGCAAGUCGAACGGGAAACCUUUAAUUGCAGCUUCGGCAGAUUUAGCUGGUUCCUAGUGGUGGACGGGUGAGUAACGCCUGGGUAACCUGCGUUAUACAGGGGGAUAACAGUCAGAAAUGGCUGCAAAUACCGCACAAGCGCACACAGCUGCAUGGCUCAGUGUGAAAAACUCCGGUGGUCUAAGUCGGACGCGCGUUGGAUUAGCUGGUUGGCGGGGUAACGGCCCACCAAGGCGCCGAUCCAUAGACGGGCUGAGAGGGUGAGCGGCCACAUUGGGACUGAGACACGGCCCAGACUCCUACGGGAGGCAGCAGUGGGGAAUAUUGCACAAUGGGGGAAACGCUGAUGCAGCGACGCCGCGUGAAGGAAGAAGUAUCUCAGUAAGUAAACUUCUAUCAGCAGGGAAGAUAAUGACGGUACCUGACUAAGAAGCCCCGGCUAACUACGUG
rnacentral:rRNA from 1 species